AUGAAAGAUGGCCAGAAGAUAACAUUCCAUGGUGAAGGAGACCAAGAACCAGGACUGGAGCCAGGAGAUAUUAUCAUUGUUUUAGAUCAGAAGGACCAUGCUGUUUUUACUCGACGAGGAGAAGAUCUUUUCAUGUGUAUGGACAUACAGCUGGUUGAGGCAUUGUGUGGCUUCCAGAAGCCAAUAUCUACUCUUGACAACCGAACCAUAGUCAUCACUUCUCAUCCAGGUCAGAUCGUCAAGCAUGGAGAUAUCAAGUGUGUGCUAAAUGAAGGCAUGCCAAUUUAUCGUAGGCCAUAUGAAAAGGGUCGCCUAAUCAUUGAAUUUAAGGUAAACUUUCCUGAGAAUGGCUUUCUCUCUCCUGAUAAACUCUCUUUGCUGGAAAAACUUCUGCCUGAGAGGAAGGAAGUAGAAGAGACUGAUGAAAUGGACCAGGUAGAAUUAGUGGACUUUGAUCCAAAUCAGGAAAGACGGCGUCAUUACAAUGGAGAAGCAUAUGAGGAUGAUGAACAUCAUCCUCGGGGUGGUGUUCAGUGUCAGACCUCUUAGUAGGCCUGUGAAUAACACUCACUGCUGGGGUUUUAUUGCAGUAGUGAUUGAGUGAAGGACUAUAAUCAUAAUAUGCUCACUACUUGUUUUUGUUUUAAUAUUCAACUAUAGCAGUGUUUAAAAGUUAAAUGAAGAAUAAACUUGAAUAUAAAAGC